AUGGACGACCCCGCCGCCGCAGCCACCGCCGCCGCCACGGAGGUUGGUGCGCCCGCAUCCCCGCCCCCGCCGGCCGCCGAGGAGGCCGAUGCCUCGGCGGAGGCGGAGGCCGUCCCGGAGGCGAAGAGGUGGCCCGGGUGGCCUGGGGACAACGUGUUCCGGAUGGUUGUGCCCGUGCUGAAGGUCGGGAGCAUCAUCGGGCGGAAGGGCGAGCUCAUCAAGCGUCUCGUGGAGGAGACCAAGGCCAGGGUCCGCGUCCUCGAGGGCCCUGUCGGCGCCACCGAGCGCAUUGUUUUGGUGUCUGCAAAAGAAGAUCCGGGCUUGGAGCUGCCUCCAGCUGUGGACGCUCUGAUUAGAGUUUUUAAACGUGUCAAUGGAAUAACAGAUGGAGCUGCUGAAGGUACCCAGACAGCUGCUGCACCUGGUGUAUGUGCUGCCCGGUUGGUGGUUCCUGGAGCUCAAGCAAUUAACCUCAUUGGGAAGCAAGGUGCUUCAAUUAAGGCAAUUCAGGAGGGCACAGGUGCUACAAUAAGGGUUAUAUCAGUAGAUGAUCGAGAUCGGCCUUUCUAUGUAUCUGACGAUGAGAGGAUAGUUGAGAUACAGGGUGAAACAGAGAAAGUUCUAAAAGCACUGCAAGCAGUUUCUAAUCAUCUCCGGAAGUUUUUGGUUGACCAUAGUGUACUUCCAUUGUUUGAAAAGACUAAUGCCCCAGUAAGUCAAGAUCGCAGUGCUGAAACUUGGAAUGAUAUGCCACAUCAUUCAAUUGUUUCUACACAAGUAAAUCAACAACCUGAAGUGCGUGAUGAAUAUGUUCUUCCAAUGAAAAGGGACCAUUUAUAUCUUGAACGGGAGCCGCUGGUAGAACAUAACAUUCAUCGCUCAGGUGUGUCAUUAUAUGGGCGAGAUCCUGCCUUGUCAGCAUUACGACCUUCUGGAAUGCAUGGUGCUGGCCCUCUACUUACACAGAUAACACAAACCAUGCAAAUCCCACUUACCUAUGCAGAAGAUAUCAUAGGAGUCAAAGGAGCGAACAUUGCAUACAUACGGGCUAACAGUGGUGCUGUUGUCACAAUUCAAGAGAGUUUGGGAAGCCCUGAUGAUAUAACUGUUGAAAUAAAGGGGACGUCGUCCCAAGUACAAUCUGCCCAACAGCUUAUCCAGGACUCCCUGGCUGCGCACAGAGAACCUGUGAGGAGCAGUUACGCAGGAUUAGAUCCGUUAUAUAGGUCCAGCUACCCGUAUGGCAGCUCGGCCUACCCGUCAUCAUCGCUGCCAUCUUAUUCUAGCAUGGACGGGAGUGGAUAUUCAUCGUCAGGUCUCGGUGGUUACGGUUCCACUUACCGCUACUAA
rnacentral:rRNA from 1 species